CUGUCAGAGCUGCUUCCAGAUCCUAGCUCACAGAGGAUCACGCUAGCCAGCGAUCAUUAAACAAAAGUCUUUAUUGAGUUACAGUUUCCAUUCUCAAACUGCUGCGUGCAACUCUACGUCUCAUGGUUAGACCGGCGAAGCUCCGUCUGAGUCUCCGCCCCUUGUACACCAACUUAAUAUCCUAGCCCUGCUCCACCUUUUCCGCCUGACUGUUCUUCUCUGGGUCCCUCUGCCCCCUGGGGUCUCUUCUUUCCGGGAUUCCUCUGACGCUGACGCUGACCCCCCUGACUCUUCUCCCUCCUUUCGGCGGGCUUUAGGACCUGGCUCCCUUUCCGGGCUGCCUACUGUGCCACCUUCCUGUGCAUUUGAACUUGGCGCGCGCGCCCAACCUUCCACCUUCCGUCUGACCGUUUCUUCGCUCCCCGAUGGAGGUGUGGCCACUCCUGACUCGUGCCCUCCCCCCUGUUGUGAGCUGCCAGCGCUUGAUCCCUGGCUCCCUUCCUCUUCCCUGCUCUCUGGCGGUGACGCUGGUCCCGAUUUCCAACUGCUCCCCUCUGAGUCCCCUCUGGCUCUAUCUUCCUGGGGCGUCCCCCUAGGCUCCCCCCUUGCCCUGGCCACUGGUGCUCCUUUCUGUGAAUCUUCUGAUUCACUGGAAAGACUCGGAGAUCUCGGGUCGUCGUCAUCACUCAUCUUUUCUUCUGCCUCCUCCCCCUCGCUCUCUGUUUCCUCCCUUGCCCUUGCCUCUGCUCCUGAACCCCUGACACA